rnacentral:rRNA from 1 species
UACGGAGGGGGCUAGCGUUGUUCGGAAAUACUGGGCGUAAAGCGAACGUAGGCGGCUUGGCAAGUCAGGGGUGAAAUCCCAGUGCUCAACACUGGAACUGCCUUUGAAACUGCUAGGCUUGAAUCCUGGAGAGGCGAGUGGAAUUCCGAGUGUAGAGGUGAAAUUCGUAGAUAUUCGGAAGAACACCAGUGGCGAAGGCGACUCGCUGGACAGGUAUUGACGCUGAGGUUCGAAAGCGUGGGGAGGCAAACAGG